UACUUCCCUUUGACCAGAAGGGUUUCCUUCCGGUCGAUGAGGUAAAUGUACCUCAUUGAUUGGAAGGGUUUCCUUCCGGUCAAAGAGGUUGAUGUACCUCCCUGACCGGAAGGAAACCCUUCCGGUCAAAGAGGUCGAUGUACCUGACCGGAAGGAAACCCUUCCGGUCAAAGAGGUC
rnacentral:miRNA from 1 species